rnacentral:rRNA from 1 species
AUUGAACGCUGGCGGCAGGCUUAACACAUGCAAGUCGAGCGAGCGGCGGACGGGUGAGUAAUGUCUGGGAAACUGCCUGAUGGAGGGGGAUAACUACUGGAAACGGUAGCUAAUACCGCAUACCAUCAGAUGUGCCCAGAUGGGAUUCGCUAGUAGGUGAGGUAACGGCUUACCUAGGCGACGAUCCCUAGCUGGUCUGAGAGGAUUAUAGGCAAGAGGGGGCCUGAGACACGGCCCAUACUCCGACGGGAGGCAGCAGUGGGGAAUAUGGCACAAUGUGCGCAAGCCUGAUGCAGCCAUGCCGCGUGUAUGAAGAAGGCCUUCGGGUUGUAAAGUACUUUCAGUCGGGAGGCUUUACCGACAGAAGAAGCGCCGGCUAACUCCGUGCCAGCAGCCGCGGUAAUUC